UAUGAAGAGUUUGAUCCUGGCUCAGAGUGAACGUUGGCGGCACGCCUAACACAUGCAAGUCGAGCGAAGUAGUUUACUACUUAGCGGCGAACGGGUGAGUAAUACUUGGAUAACCUGCCUUAAGGUCUGGGACAACUACAGGAAACUGUAGCUAAUACCGGAUAUGACCACGCUUACUACGGUAAGAGUGGUAAAAGAUUUAUCGCCUUUAGAUGGGUCCAAGUCGCAUCAGGUUGUUGGUGGGGUAAUGGCCUACCAAGCCUAUGACGCGUAGCAGGUCUUAGCGGAUGAUCUGCCACAUGGGGACUGAGAUACGGCCCUGACUCCUACGGGA
rnacentral:rRNA from 1 species